GUUGUUUUCUGCUGUUGGUUUUGUUUUGUUUUGUUUUGUUUUUUAAUGAGCCUUUUGCAUCCUGGGACCUGGAAUGAGCCAUCCUAGUCAGCAUCACUCACCUUUUCUCCAGGAUGCCUUCUCUCACCCAAAAAUAUAACCUAUUGAUAUGGGAACAUUGGGUGCCUUUGAGAACAACAGAGCCUUGCUCAGCUCUUGGUGAGCUUGGCUCAAAAAGCCAGGAUCCCAGAAACUUGAUGGCCACUUUGAGCCAGUGGCUUUUGGGUUAUUGUCUGGAAACUCCAAAAAAGUAAAAUUUGUGAGCCAGAGCCUGAGAGAGACUCCUGUGGGAGGGAGAUGGAGUACAUCAAACCACCAAGCUGCUAAUCCAGGAGUUCUUUAAAGGAUUUACAGCAGAAAGUAGGAAAUCAUUUCUAUCAAGGGAGGAGGGAAGCUCACAAGGCUCAGACAGUCACAAAAUCAGCAACCCCCCCCACCACAAGGGUCACCUUGGAUACUCUACAAGUCAAGUCAGGACACCUGGAGAAGAUGCUCUUCUGCCAGCAUUGGGGAAGAAUGAAGAAGACUGCCCAAGUUGACCAAGAAGAUGGUCUGGUUUGUGAAGAGCUGAGGCGAUCAUGUUCCAGCUCCUUCCCUGAGGCAGGAGUCAUAUUGCAUAGGGGGAACUAGGCAACAUGGGGAACUAGGGACACUUUGCCAGCUGAAUUUUGAGGCAUCAGCAUCACCCACGAAUACAACAACAAUGAGGGGCAACCCCCAUCCAUGGACCACACCUGGCAUCUGGAAGGGGCUUCCUCUUGGAAGGAUUGCUGUAGGAGCUAAAUGGGGUAGAUACACAACUUUGAUUUUAAAAAAAAAAUAUGAACAAUACCAUCAAAAAGGAAAAUGGAGCCAGGCAUUGGUGGCGCACGCCUUUUAUCCCAGCACUCGGGAGGCAGAGGUAGGCAGAUCUCUCAAGUUCAAGGCCAGCCGGGUCUCCAGAGCGAGUGCCAGGAUAGACUCCAAAGCUAAACAGAG
rnacentral:lncRNA from 1 species